rnacentral:rRNA from 1 species
UGGGGAAUAUUGGGCAAUGGGCGCAAGCCUGACCCAGCAACGCCGCGUGAAGGAAGAAGGCUUUCGGGUUGUAAACUUCUUUUGUCAGGGACGAAGCAAGUGACGGUACCUGACGAAUAAGCCACGGCUAACUACGUGCCAGCAGCCGCGUAAUCACGAGCU